UACGAAGGGUGCUAGCGUUGUUCGGAAUCACUGGGCGUAAAGCGCGCGUAGGCGGCCAAUCAAGUCAGGGGUGAAAUGCCGGAGCUUAACUUCGGAACUGCCUUUGAAACUGAUUGGCUGGAAGAUGAGAGGGGAUAGCGGAAUUCUGGUGUAGAGGUGAAAUUCGUAGAUACCAGAAGGAACACCGGUGGCGAAGGCGGCUAUCUGGCUCAUUCUUGACGCUCUGGCGCGAAAGCGUGGGGAUCAAACAGGG
rnacentral:rRNA from 1 species